rnacentral:rRNA from 1 species
AUUGAACGCUGGCGGCAGGCCUAACACAUGCAAGUCGAGCGGAUGAAGGGAGCUUGCUCCUGGAUUCAGCGGCGGACGGGUGAGUAAUGCCUAGGAAUCUGCCUGGUAGUGGGGGAUAACGUCCGGAAACGGGCGCUAAUACCGCAUACGUCCUGAGGGAGAAAGUGGGGGAUCUUCGGACCUCACGCUAUCAGAUGAGCCUAGGUCGGAUUAGCUAGUUGGUGGGGUAAAGGCCUACCAAGGCGACGAUCCGUAACUGGUCUGAGAGGAUGAUCAGUCACACUGGAACUGAGACACGGUCCAGACUCCUACGGGAGGCAGCAGUGGGGAAUAUUGGACAAUGGGCGAAAGCCUGAUCCAGCCAUGCCGCGUGUGCGAAGGAGGUCUUCGGAUUGUAAAGCACUUUAAGUUGGGAGGAAGGGCAGUAAGUUAAUACCUUGCUGUUUUGACGUUACCAACAGAAUAAGCACCGGCUAACUUCGUG